rnacentral:rRNA from 1 species
GACGAACGCUGGCGGCGUGCUUAACACAUGCAAGUCGAGCGGUAAGGCCCUUUCGGGGGUACACGAGCGGCGAACGGGUGAGUAACACGUGGGUGACCUGCCCUUAGCUCUGGGAUAAGCCUGGGAAACUGGGUCUAAUACCGGAUAUGACUCCAUAACGCAUGUUGUGGGGUGGAAAGCCUUGUGCGGCUAGGGAUGGGCCCGCGGCCUAUCAGCUUGUUGGUGGGGUGAUGGCCACCAAGGCGACGACGGUAGCCGGCCUGAGAGGGCGACCGGCCACACUGGGGACUGAGACACGGCCCAGACUCCUACGGGAGGCAGCAGUGGGGAAUCUUGCGCAAAUUGGGCGAAAGCCUGACGCAGCGACGCCGCGU